GAUGAACGCUGGCGGCGUGCCUAAUACAUGCAAGUAGAACGCUGAAGGAAGGAGCUUGCUCUUUCCGGAUGAGUUGCGAACGGGUGAGUAACGCGUAGGUAACCUGCCUGGUAGCGGGGGAUAACUAUUGGAAACGAUAGCUAAUACCGCAUAACAGUAGAUGUUGCAUGAUAUCUACUUAAAAGGUGUAAUUGCACCACUACCAGAUGGACCUGCGUUGUAUUAGCUAGUUGGUGAGGUAACGGCUCACCAAGGCGACGAUACAUAGCCGACCUGAGAGGGUGAUCGGCCACACUGGGACUGAGACACGGCCCAGACUCCUACGGGAGGCAGCAGUAGGGAAUCUUCGGCAAUGGACGGAAGUCUGACCGAGCAACGCCGCGUGAGUGAAGAAGGUUUUCGGAUCGUAAAGCUCUGUUGUAAGAGAAGAACGAGUGUGAGAGUGGAAAGUUCACACUGUGACGGUAUCUUACCAGAAAGGGACGGCUAACUACGU
rnacentral:rRNA from 1 species